GAUGAACGCUGGCGGCGUGCCUAAUACAUGCAAGUCGAGCGACCAGACGAGGAGCUUGCUCCUCUGACGUUAGCGGCGGACGGGUGAGUAAUCCGUGGAUAACCUACCUAUAAGACUGGGAUAACUUCGGGAAACCGGAGCUAAUACCGGAUAAUAUAUUGAACCGCAUGGUUCAAUAGUGAAAGACGGUUUUGCUGUCACUUAUAGAUGGAUCCGCGCCGCAUUAGCUAGUUGGUAAGGUAACGGCUUACCAAGGCAACGAUCCGUAGCCGACCUGAGAGGGUGAACGGCCACACUGGAACUGAGACACGGUCCAGACUCCUACGGGAGGCAGCAGUAGGGAAUCUUCCGCAAUGGGCGAAAGCCUGACGGAGCAACGCCGCGUGAGUGAUGAAGGUCUUCGGAUCGUAAAACUCUGUUAGUAGGGAAGAGCAAAUGUGUAAGUAACUAUGCACGUCAUGACGGUACCUAAUCAGAAAGCCACGGCUAACUACGUG
rnacentral:rRNA from 1 species